rnacentral:tRNA from 1 species
GGACUUUUAGCUUAACGGUAGAGCAAUCGCCCCAUAAGCGACGGUAUGCAGGUUCGAAUCCUGCGAAGUCCACCA